rnacentral:tRNA from 1 species
GCGGGCGUGGUGAAAUUGGCAGACACGCUAGACUUAGGAUCUAGUGUCGUGAGACGUGUGGGUUCAAGUCCCUCCGCCCGCACCA